AACGAACGCUGGCGGCAUGCCUAACACAUGCAAGUCGAACGAGACCUUCGGGUCUAGUGGCGCACGGGUGCGUAACGCGUGGGAACCUGCCCUUAGGUUCGGAAUAACUCCCCGAAAGGGGUGCUAAUACCGGAUAAUGUCUUCGGACCAAAGAUUUAUUGCCUUUGGAUGGGCCCGCGUUGGAUUAGCUAGUUGGUAGGGUAAAAGCCUAGCAAGGCGACGAUCCAUAGCUGGUAUGAGAGGAUGAUCAGCCACACUGGGACUGAGACACGGCCCAGACUCCUACGGGAGGGAGCAGUGGGGAAUAUUGGAAAAUGGGCGAAGGCCUGAUCCAGCAAUGCCGCGUGAGUGAUGAAGGCAUUAGGGUUGUAAAGCUCUUUUACCCGGGAUGAUAAUGACAGUACCGGGAGAAUAAGCCCCGGCUAACUCCGUG
rnacentral:rRNA from 1 species